rnacentral:rRNA from 1 species
CGUGUAGGCGGCUCGAUAAGUCGAAUGUGAAAGCCCGAGGCUCAACCUCGGAAGCGCAUUCGAAACUGUCGGGCUUGAGUACGGGAGAGGGAAGUGGAAUUCCUGGUGUAGAGGUGAAAUUCGUAGAUAUCAGGAGGAACACCGGUGGCGAAGGCGGCUUCCUGGACCGAUACUGACGCUGAGACGCGAAAGCGUGGGGAGCAAACA